rnacentral:rRNA from 1 species
CAGGACUCCGAGCGCAGUAGUAAAACCCUCGCUUUGGACUGUACUGGCGCGGCCCUGCCGUAAAACCCCCAACUUCUGAAAAUUUGACCUCGGAUCAGGUAGGAAUACCCGCUGAACUUAAGCAUAUCAAUAAACCGGAGGAA